CUCCCUGCCUCUCCCUCCAGGCUUCAAAGACCCUAUUUUAUACAGACAACUUCAAAAGGCCGUCUGAGCUUUGGCUCUCCGGCCUCACCCUUGGAGCCAGGACAGAGCGAGACAGACCCUGGAGACACUACAGAUGGGGCAUGACGGCAGGGGGACCAAAGAUCAUGCAAGUCAGUCCAGAAAACAGGAACAGAAAGAAUCCAUGUUGGGUUUUACAAGGGCAAAAUCAAGGUGUCAGCCAGGCUGGGCUCUGAUCAGGAAGUUUCGGGAAGAAUCAUUUCCAAGGCCGUUUGGCCAUGGCAGGUCGAGUCUUUACCAUCCACGAACUCUCUCUGCUUCCUUUUCUGACUUCAGCUGGAAAGAGUUCUCCAAUUUGAAGAGUUCGUGGGAUUAGAUUC